ensembl:lncRNA
CCUCAUUUAAGUGUUGGCAGUGGAAGUGAGGGAAUCUUUUGUUGGAGAUCUCUGUGGGCCUGAGGUCUUCCAAAGACUGAAACUUUAGUCUAGUAAGGAAAACCCAAGAGCUUGCCGUGAAGAAUUAAUUGCUAAAGAGCUGUUGAUGUUCUUAAUGGCACAGAAUUGAGGAAGACCAGCUACAAAUUCAAUGACAAGAUGCUUUCUGUCCUUCUGGACACCUCUUCUGUAGUCCUACUUUGCCUUCAAGUGCAAAGUAUGGACUUUCCAACCGUUGGAAAUCUGCAAAGAACCAAGUUUGAAGUGUUUUAUUGACUUACUGAAAAACCUACACCAGGAUGUAUAAAAGGAGCAAUGGUUCUCACAUAGAACUGAAGGGGGAUGGAAGGAGAAGAGAAGCCAGAAGGCAGUUGUUUUAUUUUCUUUACUAUCUUUUUAAUUUUUCCUUCUUGAAGUCUUACCACCGUUAAACUCAUUACUUGUGUCUGACCAGGACCAAGGUUUUGCAUUUUCUCACCAGCUGGGAGUGGAACAUCAGAAAGAACCACAAUCCCAGCCGCAAGCAGGUCUGUCAGCCAAGUUCAAAUGAGAAUCUGUCACUUUGCAGCAGCAAGAGUCUGGGAGGCUGAACAAUUUGUGGCUCGUGUACAUCUUGGGAAGACCGAGGGUCAUAAAAGCAAUUCUAAAUGGGCACUUUACCGACAGCGCUCACCUUUAAUGGCCUUUUUGUGAAGUUACAGCUUGGCUUUUAGACUCUUUUUGCAAUUCAUCACUUAAUCCAUACACACUACCUUGGCCAAGAAUUGGACAAUGGGGCCCACUGUGUCUGGUUUUGUUAUGGAGCAGCCAGAGUGGCUUUUAACUAAAACAAUGUAUCUGAAGGAGAAAAAUGUAAUCACCUUGAAUUCCCAACUGAGUCAACUUACUUAAGGCAGCUUUGCAGACGUUGGUGUGCGUAAUCGAUGAAAUCAGAACUGAAGCUACAUAACUAGGGCAAAAAGGGGUAAGAAUGUCUCUGCAUGUACAAAAUAUGGGGGAGAAAAUCUACAGGGAAGAAGGAAAUAACUGCAUGCAGCUAGGCCUGUGAAAAGACUUUUUUUUUUCUAUGACACAAAAUCUUUCUGGAUUGACUGCUGAGGGUGUCUUAUAUUGGCAAGGAAUUUGUGUUACUGGUCCUGAAAUUAGAAGGGUCCCCUUCUAAAAAAUCAUGCAUCUCUUGGGACUGAGCAACCCUGCAAUCCAUUUGCCAGUUUCUUUUAGGAACUGGAGGUGAAGAGAGUAGAAGUGGUAACUCAGCCCCUGCCAGGUCUUCUAAUGCUGCUGCACAAAAGAGAUUUGCAUUUCCCAGGAGUGUGUAAGUCCUUUGGCCAAACAAAAAAAAAAAAAAUAACCAACAGUCCAGGCUCUGCUGAGACAUCUAACAAACUAGCUUACUUCUAUAACCAAAACAUUCUUGAAUACAAAUGGAACAGGUGUAUGCACACCCUCAUUUUGAGGAAGGGGGAAGAAGUACUUCCCCAGGCUCUGAGGAAAUAUGCAACUUGCCUUUUGGCACUACUGUCAAUCUUGAGAGAUCUCCUAUCCAUGGGAGCAAGUGCUUCACAGAAAUGUACUGCAAUCUUGCAAAUGCUUUCUCUUUUCAAAGUGCCCACUGUUGUAGGGGUGAGGACAGCUGGUUUGUGGAUUUCUGUGAUUGAGAAUGAAUAACUACAUUACCACUAUUCGGCUCAGGAAGGCCUGUAACCUACCACUCCCAAGUGGAACACUCAAACUUAAGACCACUUCUGACAGAGGCAGUCUUCACUUUCCUAAAACUUGAGCUGUCAAAUUAAGAUUUAUUUUGUCAAAAUGAGAUAGCAUUUUUGGCAUAGGUUCCAGGUAAACUACAAUAAAAAGCUAUGCAUCUGUAGAAGCUUCUAGAGGCAAUUCAAAAGAUGAAAGUAAGACUUUUGAAAGCAAGUAGGGAACACUAUACCCUUCCUUGGAAUUUAUCUGACCUUAAUUUGUUUCUAAGUACCUACAGAAAAAGCUCUAAAUUUGGCAACCAAAUAAGUGAGAGCGCCAGUCCAAUGCUUCAUAGUGACAACGAUUGACUUCAGUUAAUUUUCUCUGAUCAGUUGAUUCCUUUCUACAUUUGGUCAUUCCAUCUAUGUUUUGAUCUUAGUGAACCUGCAGUCUUCCAAAGAAUCUCUCACAAAGGGAAACAGGACCCCUCAAUGCACCUUAACGCAAAUGUAUCACAGAAACCAAAGAAGGCAAGAAGAAUUUGGCUGCAGUGAUGUUUUCCUGUUUGGAGUGAAGCUCCAAUGACUGUGCGGCAUGAUGAAGCAUUAGCUCCAUUUGCUUUCUGUCUCUUAGACCCCCACACCUGCCUGCCAUUUAGCUGCCUCUGAAGGCCGGCCAAGGGACAUCAGAUCAAAUAAUAAAAGCCACAUUGAAGCAGUGUUUCAGCUGAAACGCUGUGAGUGGAGGCGAGAUGAGGAUUGGAAAAGGCUCCCUAUAAAAGAGCCCACACAUACAUGCGAGAAGGUCAUUAACUUGUGCCUUGUGCUAUCUUUGCAGUCUCUGCUCCCUCUCUCAAUUAUUACAUCAGAAGGAAAUGAGAGAGUACUUUGCCAAAUACUAAUGGACUUGAUGUUUUCAUAAUCUCAAGUGUGCAACAAUCAGAGCUGUUUAUUUUCCAAAGAUGGGAACCAGGGGAGGAGGCUGAAGACUGUGAAGAGGUUCCAGAAAGCUCAAGCCAGUUCUAUAUUCAUCUCUUGCUCCAUCUUUAGCUGCCAGGCUGAUAUUUAUCUGAAUCAUUUGCUAGAUGAGGCCUUGUGCUUCCUGAGGAAUGUGUCAAAAGCCUGUAGAACUGCAAAGAGGCCUCAGAAGCCGUUCUGUUGUUCUGUUAAGUCAUGUGUGCUGUUCUAUUAAGGUGGGGGGAAAGAGGGGCGGAGGGGGGGAACUUUACAGAGGAGUUGAGACUGAAAAACAAGCAUCUAGCAGUGCUUAAU